UUUGUAAUAUGGAAGUUGUAAAGCUGUGUUUUAAUAGGAUUACCUUAGGAACAAGAGGACUACUUUUUAAAGAUACAAGAUCCCGCUGCGUUGGCAAUUCUGUUAUCAGAAAGAUAGUGAUUGAUACAAAACAGUAAGAAACUGUAGAAUUGCAGGACCCAUAAUCCUUACAAGGAAGAUUUAGAGAGUGCUGUGUCAAUCACUCAUCAGCACCUCACAGAUAUUAUCUCAAUUCGUCCUGGCAACCAUCACUGCCCCUACUUAGCAGUCUCAGAGAGGAGACUCAACUCACACAGGGGCCAAGAGCUGGACCAUGGAAAUGGGACAAAACAUCCUUUCUGCCAACUGAGGGGGCAGCAGAACACAGUGGUUGAGCAUGGGCUUUGGUGAAGGAUGGCGGGGGUUCAAAUCCCAGUUCUCCCCCACCUCUCUGCUUCGCUCCGGUUCCUGGGCCUCUGAGCUGGUCUCCUCCACUGUGGAGUAACUGUGACUGCUCAUCUGCAGAUUCCUUCUGUGCUGGACACGGUUCCAACUUUCCGACUACUCCCGCAGGAGCUCAUUUAGUGGAGACAACAGGAUCUUGCUUACUGUCAUAGUGAGGAAGAAAUGGAAAUAUCUGUGCAGGGCCCAAGCCCGGCCUGGCGCGGGAGAGGCAUCAAUAAAUGCAGCUUGAGUUCAGAAGCAGCUGGUCUGUGGCUCAGUCAGCCUGGCUUC
rnacentral:antisense_RNA from 1 species